CGCGUAGGCGGGUGUUUAAGUCAGAGGCUAAAUCCCAGGGCUCAACCCUGGAACUGCCUUUGAUACUGGGCACCUAGAGUUCGGGAGAGGUGUGUGGAACUCCGAGUGUAGAGGUGAAAUUCGUAGAUAUUCGGAAGAACACCAGUGGCGAAGGCGACACACUGGCCCGAUACUGACGCUGAGGCGCGAAAGCGUGGGGAGCAAACAGGAUUAGAUACCCUGGUAGUCCACGCCGUAAACGAUGAGUGCUAGUUGUCGGCAUGCAUGCAUGUCGGUGACGCAGCUAACGCAUUAAGCACUCCGCCUGGGGAGUACGGUCGCAAGAUUAAA
rnacentral:rRNA from 1 species